rnacentral:rRNA from 1 species
UGCCAGCAGCCGCGGUAAUACGGGGGGUGCAAGCGUUACUCGGAAUCACUGGGCGUAAAGAGCAUGUAGGCUGGUUUGUAAGUUGGAAGUGAAAUCCUAUGGCUUAACCAUAGAACUGCUUCCAAAACUGCAGACCUAGAAUAUGGGAGAGGUAGAUGGAAUUUCUGGUGUAGGGGUAAAAUCCGUAGAGAUCAGAAGGAAUACCGAUUGCGAAGGCGAUCUACUGGAACAUUAUUGACGCUGAGAUGCGAAAGCGUGGGGAGCAAACAGGAUUAGAUACCCUGGUAGUCCACGCCCUAAACGAUGCACACUAGUUGUUGCCUUGCUAGACAAGGCAGUAAUGCAGUUAACACAGUAAGUGUGCCGCCUGGGGAGUACGGUCGCAAGAUUAAAACUCAAAGGAAUAGACGGGGACCCGCACAAGCGGUGGAGCAUGUGGUUUAAUUCGACGAUACGCGAAGAACCUUACCUGGCCUUGACAUAGAAGGAACUUACUAGAGAUAGUUUGGUGCUAGUUUACUAGAGCCUUCAUACAGGUGCUGCACGGCUGUCGUCAGCUCGUGUCGUGAGAUGUUGGGUUAAGUCCCGCAACGAGCGCAACCCUCGUGUUUAGUUACUAACAGUUCGGCUGAGGACUCUAGACAGACUUGCCUGGGUAACCAGGAGGAAGGUGAGGACGACGUCAAGUCAUUCAUGGCCCUUACGGCAGGGCUACACACGUGCUACAAUGGGGUAUACAAA